rnacentral:rRNA from 1 species
GUGAGGAAUUUUCCGCAAUGGGCGAAAGCCUGACGGAGCAAUGCCGCGUGAAGGAUGAAGGCCUAUGGGUUGUAAACUUCUUUUCUCAGAAAAGAAUUAUGACGGUAUCUGAGGAAUAAGCAUCGGCUAACUCUGUGCCAGCAGCCGCGGUAAGACAGAGGAUGCAAGCGUUAUCCGGAAUGAUUGGGCGUAAAGCGUCUGUAGGUUGUUUAAAAAGUAUUCUGUCAAAGAUCAGGGCUUAACCCUAGAUAGGCAGAAUAAACUUUUAAGCUAGAGUUUGGUAGAGGCAGAGGGAAUUCCCGGUGGAGCGGUGAAGUGCGUAGAUAUCGGGAGGAACACCAAAAGCGAAGGCACUCUGCUGAGCCAAUACUAACACUGAGAGACGGAAGCGAGGGGAGCAAAUGGGAUUAGAAACCCCGGGUAGUCC